GAAGAAUUUGUUUUAUCGUUAGCCGAUUGAUUAUCUGUGUCCCAUAGAAAGUCAUGAUAACACCUUACUUGGAGACACGUUUGAUAAAUCAAGGUUAGAACAUAGUAUCUUUGAAUGGAGGGAUGAAGAUGAUGGUGUAGAACCAUUGUUUACACCUUACUGAGAGACUGUUUAGAUAAGUCAUGGUUUAAGCAUACUAGCUUUGAUUAAGGGCCUGAAAACAAGAGAGUAGGGACUAUUUGUGGACAAUUUAUGAAUACUUGGA